ACUCGUCCUCAGCCAUCUCGA
rnacentral:miRNA from 1 species